rnacentral:lncRNA from 13 species
AAAUAAACUAAGAUAAAUGAACAGCAGAAAUCACAUGAUAUUAUAAAUACGCUCUACUCUCCAUAUCCCUUUCCUCCUCUCUAUCUCAGGUUGUAUUGUAUCCUCUCUAUCUCAGGUUGUAUUGUAUCCUCCUCUCUAUCUCAGGUUGUAUUGUAUCCUCUCUAUCUCAGGUUGUAUUGUAUCCUCUUCUCUAUCUCAGGUUGUAUUGUAUCCUCCUCUCUAUCUCAGGUUGUAUUGUAUCCUCUCUAUCUCAGGUUGUAUUGUAUCCUCCUCUCUAUCUCAGGUUGUAUUGUAUCCUCCUCUCUAUCUCAGGUUGUAUUGUAUCCUCCUCUCUAUCUCAGGUUGUAUU